rnacentral:rRNA from 1 species
AGCAGUCGCCGCGGGAAAACGGAGGGAGCUAGCGUUGUUCGGAAUUACUGGGCGUAAAGCGCACGUAGGCGGCUUUGUAAGUUAGAGGUGAAAGCCUGGAGCUCAACUCCAGAAUUGCCUUUAAGACUGCAUCGCUUGAAUCCAGGAGAGGUGAGUGGAAUUCCGAGUGUAGAGGUGAAAUUCGUAGAUACUCGGAAGAACACCAGUGGCGAAGGCGGCUCACUGGACUGGUAUUGACGCUGAGGUGCGAAAGCGUGGGGAGCAAACAGGAUUAGAUACCCCGGUAGUCCCUGUCUCUUAUAC